CCUCACUGGGAGUAAGCUUGGGCGAUUGCAGGGACUGAUGAGGUACUCCCCCUGGAAUGAAGGAGGUAAAGCUCCGCGCCUCGGUACAUGGACUAGGACCUGUUCACGGACUGGCCAAGAUGCAGGAAAUCAAGUCACUUUUCGGAUCUGUCUUCUCAGUAAAAAGAGCGGAUUGGACAAGCUGAUCUCUAAGGACCUCUUCGGGUCUAUCCUUCUAUGUUUUGAGCUCUGACUUUCUAUGAGUUUGCAUCCUUGUUCCGCGUCCCCAAGUUCGCUGGGACCAGUCUUUGAAUUUCCGGAGACUGCAGGUACCAUCCCAGAGUGUUGUGGGCCACAUGCAGCUUGUAGGUUGUCUGACACCUCUGCUCUACAUCAUGGUGACAUCAUUUGCUGCUCAUGUUUGGACCAAGAGCUCCUUUGCCUGGUCCAGAAACUCAGGAUUCUCUGGAAAGCCCUCCUCUGAAUCCAAGAGGUUUGGUGCAUGAAAUCCGCCAUCAUUCCACUGCUCCUGCUCCAUCAUUGAACUUCAGCUCCCAGCGUGGUCCUGGAAAUACUCAUUUUGCUCUGCCUGCUGCCAUCUCUGGAGCCAUGUGGUUCCAUCCUCUCCUGGGGCCACGUAGUUCCCUGAUGCACGUGGUUCCCUGGAGGGGCCGUAGAACCACAAGGUCACAAAGCUUCCCGGUAGCAAGAUCCAAAGCCUGUCUGUGCCCACUGCUGCCAGGUGAAUGCCGUUUCCUGUUCUCCAGACCGCCUUUUAAAGGCUAAAUUCCCAAACUUAAAUUCGGUUAUGUGCUGGCCUUAAGUUAGUUAUCCUUGAUAAGAUGUAAAAUAACAAAAACCCAGAGCAAUGAAAAUGGAAGAAAACAGUCAUCAAUCCCAGAACAAAAAUUUUAUCCAUGUUAACCUUUUCAAAGGAAUCUCUUGGAAAGUCUUGAAUACUCCCUAUACUUAAAUAUUGCUCAUUCUAGGUUUUGUAAUUUCUGAAAGUAUCUAUAAUAUAAUUAUCUUUUUAAACUUCCUAUCAGGACAUAAGCUCUGUGUAGGCAGUGUCUUGUCUAAACUUUAGAUGUGGGUUCUGCCUUAGUAGGUCUGGGUAAGACUUCUAUUGCUGGAUAUGAAAAACCCAGAAAUUGUGCAGGAAAAAAGAAAUCACUAAAUCAGUAGCAAGAGAGGUACUCUUUACCUUUCUAUUCUGUGGCCAAAUAUAAAGAGAUACAGAUCUGCAUCUCCAGACUGAACCAUCAGUCUGACUCCCCAGCAAAGCAGGUACUCAUGAGCUACCUUGUGCUUACAUAUCCUAAUAGAGCUUAUUGGUCUGAUUCAUUGAGCCUAUCUCAUAGCAGAAUAAAAAAAUAGCUUAAAGCUCUUAUAUCAGUUUUGGAGUCAUCAGCACCCAGAGAGGACAUUGGAGAUUCAGGACAAAAUAGUUACUACAACACAUGAUCAUCUCCUCAAAUACAGCUCUGGGUUUUGCUGCUAACAUGUUUUCUCUCCCCUCUUUGGCUUUCUCAGCUCCACCACUUGUAAGAAGCUGCCCUAUCCAAUGAGGAUAUGCACCAAGACCAUCACCAGGCAUACAGGUUCACGAAGGCUUUCUCUGAUCCAAAUCUUCUGGCCAAUGUAGCAUGAGAGACACUUUAAUACCCUUCCCACAAUAAAAAUUUGCAAAGCCUGAAAAAUUUCCCAUAUGCAUAGGUACACUGGAUCAUAGAUGUAGAGCUGUAAACAUCUAAUAAUCUAAUUUUCAUCUUGCAGAUGAGAAAAUUGAGGUCUUGGUGGUUAAGUGAAUUGCCUAAAAUCAUAAAGGAUCUGGUAACAAACACCAUAAAUUUCCAUUAACUGACUUACAGUAGAAAAACAUAUGCAUGUACAUAGAACAUUAUAAAUACACUACUAUUUUAUAUAGCAGACCAAAUACAUGAGUCAUAUUAGAAACAUAAUGCAACAUAGAACAUAAAAUAUACAAAAGUUGCAUGUUGCAUGACAUAUUGGGGUCAUAAAAUUGAAAUCAUAUGCAAUACAUAUCAUAUGAUGAGGUUAUAUACAAAACAUACAUACAUUCCCCAUCAAUGGAUAUUAUAUGUGCAAUUUCCAGUAACAUUCACCCUCAGAGUAUAUCAUAAAACCCAAUUACAAGUAAGUCUCAUUGCUAAGUCCAUGGAAGACCCAAUUUGACUAUUCCUGUAUCUAAGCCCUACUGAAUCAUUUUCAUUGGUUUUUUUUUUGUUUUUUUUUUAAGUUGUGUUCAAUAUUUUGUAACCCCAUCUUUUCUUGGCAAUGACACUGGUUUGAUUUACCAUUUCCUUCUUUUUAUAGAUGAGUAAGUUGCGGGAAACAAGGUGAAUUGACUUGCUUCACACAGCUACCAAGUGUCUGAAGCUGGAUUUGACUAGUCUUCAGGCCUGGCACUCUACUAUACCAUCUAAUUGUUUAUCAUUACCUCUAUAGGUUGCUUCAAUUACCGUAUCUUGAGGAGUGGGCAGGAGAAAGCAUUCCCAGAGCUAUCCUGACCCCUUCUUCCCCAUCAUGACUUCCAGAGCCAUUUUGACCCUUUCUCCCCUAUCCUGAUUCCACAAUCUAUGGAGAGGUCCUUCAGUCUGGAAAAGCCAUGGCAGGUUUUCCCUGAUCCUCUUAGCUAGAUAGCUAUACCAGGUAGUAUAAUGGAUAUAGAGUACUGGGUCUAGAGUCAGGAAAACCUGAGCUCAAACUUAUCCUUAACUUUCUUAGGUAUGCGACAACCUCUGUCUCAGUUUCCUCAAUGAUAAAAUGGACAUUAUAACACCAAACUCCCAGAGUUGCUGAGAGGAUCAAAUGAAAUAAAAUUUGUAUUAAGUGCUUAGCACAGUGCCUAACACAUAGUAUUGUAGAAAUGCUUAUUCCCUACUAUCAUGCAUUGUUCCAAAUUUUACAUGGAUAAUAUAUAUUUAUAUAUUUUUUUGAUAUGGAUCUCUACAGAGAUAGGUCUUAAUUUGCACUCUAUCAGGAGAGUAGCAGCAUACUUUGUCAUGAGUCCUCUGGAAUCAUGGUUGAUUUCUUAUUGAUCAGAGUCCCUAAGUCAUUCAAAGCUAUCUUUAUAUUGUUGUUUGGUAUAAAUUGUUCCCCUGAUUCUGCUUACUUCACUCUGCAUCAUGUCUUCCCAGGUUUCAUUACAUUCAUAUACAGUAACUUUUUUAGCCAUUCCCCUAUGUCUUAAUUUCCAAUUUUUUUGCCAUUGAAAAAGUUACUGUAAAUAUUUUUGUACAUCUGGGAAGUCCAUAAACCAUUAAAUCAACUGUUCUGCUGUAGUGUUCUGGUUGGUUUUCUGGAAAUCUCUGGACCAGCCUUUGUUUCAGCAGAGUAAUCACCCCGAGAAUAGUCAGGUGUUAAAGUCCAAAUUCUUUAUUACCUCCUUCAAAGUCUUGUCUCCUUGCCUGGGGCUUCAACUAGCUUUCUUGAGGUUCUCCCGAAAGUGUCUUGGUUUCUGUAGGGGAGGCAGGACGACCACCAUGACGGGUCUCUGUCUUGGAAGUCUGUCUUAAUCUGAGAGCUUGAGCUCCUGCCUCCAGUCCUCUAUCUUCUCCAAGCCCUUCUCUGGCUGAGUUUGUCCCAGUUUAUAUGCAGUAUACUAAAUAUAUAAGCCAACCAUUAUAUCACCAGGGAACCAUUAUUUGUGGUAAGAUUAAACCAAUCAUAUUGAACUAGAGAACUAUUAAUUACCAUGCUAAACUAGAUAACCAUUGUCUUAUCAAUCCCACUGACUUAACACCUUUUAAUAAUCCUUGUUUCAAGUACAGAGUUCUGGCCCAUAACAUUCUCCUCUCUCUGUUGGGCCUCUACCAUUCUCAGGCUUUUUGUGCACUUUACAUGUCACAAGGUUUUUAUUAACCUUCCUGUAGCAAUUCCAUUACAGAUGUGAGAUGCAAAGUGUUGAUGUGCUGCAAGGUGAUAGAAAUCUCUCUCAAAUGUUGUGAUGAACAUAUGUAUCCACCUCCCCGGCUCUGAAUUUAUUAAUUCUAUCACACCUUGUUCAAAGGCAGUCAGAAAUAUGAUCUAAAAUUAUCUCAAAUUUAUAAACCAAAAAAUCCCCAUUAGUUCCAAGCUUAAAAAAAAAAAUUAUUUUCCCCAAACCUUUUUCUCUUCUAUCAAUAGUAAGCAGCUAAUUUAGACAACUUUGUUACUAUAUAUUUACAGUAAUAAAUAUUACAAAGGGUCUCAACAACCAAUUGAUUCCUCCAUGAAAGAUGGAAGGAAGAUUGGAAUCACUGUCUAACAAUUCAGUUCUCUCAGGAUAGCAGCUUAAGUUUCUCAAGAAUCUUCAGGAUGUCACCUCCACAUAAGAAAAAUUAAAUUCAAUUUUCUCAGAAUGUCUUUCCAACAUCUCUGAAAAAAGACAGUUAAUUCUCACAAUCUCUUAUAACUUCUUUUUUUCCAGUUAACUCUCUGGGUUUCCUCAGGAAAAAAAAAAUCUCCCUUCAUGAGCGCCUCUCAUAAGCCAUACCAAAGAUGCUGGUUGACUCUUACUUAUCAAGAGUCUAUUCUUCCCCCCACCUCAAAGUAUAAUAACAACAUUUAGCCUUUGUGACUAUUAAAAAGGAGUUUCAUUUUCUCAAGCUCUUCAAACAAAGGCUGAAUAAUCACUCACUGGAAAGAUAAUAGAACAAACUCACAUUUUAAACAGGAAUUGUGCUAAAUGAGUUUUAAGAUCCUAUUUGAAGACUUCUAGUGAGGGGAAGGAAGACCAUCACCUCAUCUCAAGAAGAAUUAAAGUCUUUUUCUCUUUUAGUGUCCCUUUGGUAGCUAGGUAGUAAAGUGGAUAGAGCCCUAGACUUGGGAUUAAAAGGCUCACAUUCAUGAGUUCAAAUGCAGCCCCAGACACUUAAUAUCUGGGUGACCGUGGUGAGGUCACUUAAACCUAUUUGCCUCGGUUUCCUCAUCUGCAAAGUGAGCUGGAGAAGGAAAUGGCAAACCACUUUAGUAUCUUUGCCAAUAAAACUCCAAAUGGAGUCAUUUAGAGUUAGACAUGACUAAAUAACAAGAAUUAAAGGUUAGUUGUUUCUCCUUAUAGUUUACUUAAAUCUGUUUCUUCUUUUAAGCAUGAAAAAUUUAAUCCAUUUUACACUUGCAAAUGUUAAAUUUUUUUUAAAUUAAAAACUUUCAUUCUCCCUUUUCCCUACCUCCAGUCUUCUCUUCCUCAGACCAAACAUCCAUACUUCCCUUAGCCAACUUUUUUUUUCCUCCCUUGUGAGGCAAUUGGGGUUAAGUGACUUGCCCAGGGUUACACAGCUAGCAAUAAGUAUCUGAAGUUGGAUUUGAAUUCAGGUCCUCUUGACUUCAAAGCUGGUGCUCUAUCCAAAACAAUUCUUUUUUUUUUGGGGGGGGGGGGGGGGGAGGCAACUGGGGUUAAGUGACUUGCCCAGGGUUACAUAGCUAGUAAAUGUUAAGUGUCUGAGGUUGCAUUUGAACUCAACUCCUCCUAAUUCCAAGACUGUUACUCUAUUCCCUAUGCCAUGUAGUGGUUCCCAAACAAUUCUCAAAGAACAGAUUUAUAGCCUUUCCCCAUUCUAGUUCCUGUCCUCUUGAUACCCCUUAGAUUUUCAAUAACCUUCCUGAAAUGUGAUUUCCAAAACACAAUGUCUAACCAGAACAGAAUAUACAGGCUAUCAAACUCCCUUAUGAUGGAUAACAUGCCUCACAAUAGAGUAUAAAUUUCAUUGCAGUUUUUUUGAGGUGCAGAUGGGGUGCCAUGUCACAUCAUUGAUUCUUUUAGAACUUGAGGAUAACUAAAGUCCUCAGAUCUUUUUUUUUUUUUUUUUUUUUUUUUUAGAACAAUUGCUAGUCCAGUUUAUAAUUAUCCAAAGUGCUUUCAAUGUGGUUAGUGGAUGAGCAUUUUUAUCUUCUUUGGUUCAAUGUUGACUCCUUGCUAAAAUACUGUGAGACCCAGGUAUGUAGUAGAACCUCUGCAGAACUAGCAUUUGUCAAUCUGUCAGACCUCUAUCCAAGUCAAUAUUUCCAUCAGUCUUUUAUGUUUUUCCAUUAUCUUCCAAGAAAAUGAGGUCAUCCAGGUAUACAAAUAGUAUUUUCUCCCUGGGCCAUUGAAAAAUGGCAGAUGCCCCUGAGAUGUCUUGAGAUAUACACUCAAAAGCAUUAAAAAUCCAGCUGGUUAGAACAAAGCUGGGUUGUCUUUUGUCUGCCUUUGACAAAGAGAUAUGGAAAUAGCCAUUUUGUAAAUCUAAUAUUUAAAAACCACUUACUGCCUAGCACAUGCCCUAAGGGGAAAACCUGUUAACAUUCAUUCAGAGUAAUAACUUCAUCUUUUAUGUCCCAAUGCUGAUUGUGUAGGCAAAUUUCUAUUCACUUCUCAAAUGCAUUCAACAUAUGUGUGGUGAUCUCACCUGCAUAUAUGUAAGCUGAAGAUUAUUCUACUUUUCAUCUGCUCUCUAUCAAUGGUGUCCUUACAUCCUCUGAUCCUCUGUUACUUUUCUUCUCCAAGCAGAACAGGUCUGUUAUCCACAGUUAACAUUUCUCUUUCUCUUUUAAAUAAUUUUUUAUUUCCCAAUAACAUAUAAAGAUAAUUUUCAACAUUCAUUUUUUAUAAAAUGUCAUGGUUCAAAUUUUUCUCCUUCUUUCCCCUUCCUCAAGAAGAAUGUCAUUACUUACUUUUUAGGGGGAGGUAAUCCAAGUUAAAUUACUUGUCCAGGGUGACCUAUUUAAUGUUUGAAGUGAGAUUUGAACUCAAAUCCUACUGACUUCAGGGCUGGCGCUCUAUCCAUGGUGCUACCUAUUUGCUCCCAAUAGUCUUUCUUAGUAGGUGUUGUGAAAGUGCUUGCUUUCAAAGCUGAGUGAAUAGUGGUGUUUUGAAGCCAAUCCAACUUGAGUUUGUCCAAGUUAGAAUUUUCUUUGCAGAUAUGAAAUAAUUCUCAAAGUGACUAACUCUUGGUAGCAACUGAUCAUCAUCUGACUGCUUCCGUUUUAGUUCAAGACCAGCUAAGAGUACAUUCAGAUCUUUGUGUUAUAAUUUAUAUUCACACACUAGUGCCAAUCUAGCCUCAUUUGCUUCCUCAAGUUUUACUGUACUUUUCUUUGAUGUUGGGACCCCUGGAUGGAGCAGUAGAUAAGAGUGUGGGUCUGGAGUCAGGAUUUCAAAUCCAACCUAGAUACUUACUAGCCAUAUGAUCCUGGACAUAUAAUCCUAUUUACCUCAGUUUCUCCUUUUGUAAAAUAACCUAGAAAUGGCAAACCACUCCAGUAUCUUUCCAUGUAAAAAACAACUGAACAGCUCUGUUGUCUUCUGAAACUAUCCAUACAUAUGAAGACAAAUAGUUUUAAGAUUAAUGGUAAACUAAAUGAAUUUAGCAUGUUUGUCAAAGUGUUGCAAUACCACCAAAUUGUUUUGCCAGUCUUUGAAACCAUUUUGUAACCAUUCUCGCCAUUUGAUUUUGUAUUUUAUAGGCUUCAUACUUUGCCCAGUUCCAAAAGCUAUUUUUUUUAAAUGUAACCCUUUUGUUUUCUUAAAGCAGGUAUCAGUCAUUGAGUUACCUAUCAAUGCUACUCUUUUUCUCCCUCCACCCCUCUCCCCCAUAUCCCCUGAGCAGCAUAUCUUGCAGACUGCUCAGACUCUUCAUCCUCCAUACCCUAGAAUAAUAAAAGGCAGGCUUAUGACCGGCCAAGGAGGUACUGCAAGAGAGAAUCAGAGAACAGCAGGAAUACCUAAGCAGGACUGGGGAGGCAGCUGACACUAUUGCCACUGAGCUGGCCACUGAAGAAGCUAAAUCUAGAACUUACUCAGACCUGCAGUCUGACUCCCAAGACUUCCCCUUCCCAUAGCCACUGGAAAACUUAGAAACAAAUGAAGAAGACCAUCUGGUACCUGAAAAAAUAGGCCUAUUUUGCCAACUGCCUUGCCAUGGACUGCAGUUUCCCCUUCCAGCCCUUGAACCCGACCUCCAAAGACCAGGUCCCUCUCCUGACAUCAGCAAAGACAGAAAUUUGCUGACACAUUUUUAACAAAAAUGUUUGUAUAAUCAGUAUGAGCCUGAGGAAAAGCAGUAGCCUGAAUUAAUAAUACACUUCCAUUUGGGUCUAGGUAGCUUUGUGAGGCAGCUUUUAUAAAAAAGACCUUCCAUUUCUUGACUCUGGGCAUUUUCUCUGGCUGUCACCCAUACCUAGAACAUGAUCCCACUACUGCUACCUUUAAGUCUCAACCAAAAUCUCAUCUUUUACUAUUAGUCUUUUCCAAUCCCUCUUAAUUCCAGUGCCUUCUUUCAGUUAAUUAUUUCCUAUUUAUUCUAUAUAUAGCUCACUUUGUAAAUAUUUGUUUAUGUGUUGUCUCCUCCAUUAGAUUUUAAGUUCCUUGAGGAACUAUCCUUUUUGACUCUUUUUUUGUAUUCCCAGCACUUAAAACAGUGCCUGGCACAUGGCAGAUGUUUUUUGAUUCACUGAUCCUCCCCUCCCUCUCCCAGCUAUGACUGUCAUCAAAAACUAAGUGUUAAAAUAAAGAUUUUCAUCUUUUUCUCAAUUAUGUUUUCAUUUUUAUUAUGCAUGUUUUUAAAUUUAGAGAACAUAGGACUAUUGGAUCAACAUAUAAUUUGUAAAAAUGCAUAUAUAUAAUUUUAUAUCUAAACAUGUAUGCAUACAUAUGUUCAUAUACAUAUAUCUUAAGUCUAUGUGUGCAGGUGUGUAUAUAAUCGGUGUCAUACAUAUCCCCAUAUAUACCUCCUAUAUGUGUUUGUCAACACAUAUCGACACUAUCUAUACAUAUAUAUACAUACAUGUGUAUAUAUGUCUCUAUAUAGGUGUGUUGUGUGUUUACAUAUAUAUAAAUGCUCAAAAUUUUUCUAUGGAUACCUGUAUCCAAAAGAGUUAUUAUUAUCCAAAGAGUUUAAAGAGCACUACUGUAGGGUAAAAUGGAACAAAUCUGAUACAUUCUACUCUGGCAUUCUUUCAGAUGGAAGGUGGCAAUUACAUUCGUACUCAAUCUUGAAUCUUUCAGGCUGUUAAACAUCUUCAGUUCCUUCAAAUAAUCCUUGCAUUUCACUUCUCACCCUAUCUCUCCUCUUCUAGAUCUAUAAUGCCCAGAACCAAAGAUAAAUUUCCAGAUACUGAAUGAGAAGUGAAAUCAAUAAUUACUAAAAAAAAUAGCCAUUGUCUGUAAUAUAAGAUGAAUAGUCACUUGAAUUCAGCAAAUGUGGGUUCAAAUCUUGGCUGUGACAAUUAUUAGUUGUGACUAAGGGCAAAUUAUUUCACCACUCUUGAGCCUCAGUCUCCUCAUCUGUUAAAAAGAAAUAAUAAUAAAAAAAAGUUGACACCUACCUCAGUUUUUUUCUUUUUAAGAGAUUUUCCUUUUUUGUCAUAAACCUAAAUAUAGAGAGAAAGAUGAACAUUUUAAUACAUAACAGAGAGAAAAGAGAACUAUAUGUGGAACUAUGAACUUGUUAUGUAUAAUUUUUGAAUGCAUACACUAUAUUUAACAUUAAGGGGCAGUUAGGUAGCAGAGUAAAGAGAACAAUGGGAUUGUAGUGUUCAAAUCUAGUUCUCAGACACUUACUAGCUAUGUGACCGUAAGCAAGUCACUUAAUCCUGUUUGCCCCAGUUUCCUCAUUUGUAAAAUGAACUGGAGAAGGAAAUGGCAAACCACUUUAGUAUCUUUGCCAAGAAAAUGCCAAAUGGGGUCACAAAAAGUAGGAUAUGACUGAACAGCAACAAUAUGUACUAUGACUCUAUCAGCUAUCUGGAGUAGGAGUAUGUUUCAUCAUGAGUCUUCCAGAAUUAUUGGUCAUAACAAUGAUCAAAAUUCCUAAAUCUUUCAAAGUUGUUUGUCUUUACAAUACUGUUGUUGUUGUUACACAAAUUUUCUCCUGGUUCUUAUUUCAUUCUGCUUUAGACCAUUUAAGUCACAAGAGUUGGAGAUGAGUGAACAACAAAACAUCAUGCUAACAAAACUGCUCUGCCUGUCUAUGUGCCCUUCUACCCUCCCUUCUCCCAUCUCAUUUAAAAAAAAAAAUGUUUAUUGAUGUCAUUUUAUUUUUUUAAAGUCAUCAUUAUUACAUAGUCUUCCUCCUCAUCCCAAACCCUUUCUCAUAACAAAUAAGUAUAAUCAAGGAAAACCAAUUCACACAUUGUUGUAUCUAGAAACACAAGUGUCUUUCUGCAUAUUUUGUCCGUUACCUUUCUUCAAAAGGUGGGAAGCAUGAUUCACCCACAAGUCUUUUGAUUAGUUACUAGUACAUUGAUCAAUCUUUUUAAAGUUUUUUUCUUUACAAUGUGUUCACCAUAUAAAUUGCUCUCUUAGUUCUAUUCACUUCACUCUACAUCAGUUUGUACAAGGCUUCCUAAGUUUCUCCAAAUUUUUCAUAUUCUUCAUUUCUUAUAGUUCAAUAAUGUUCCAUUAUAUUCAUAUACCAUAAUUUUUUCAUCUAUUCUCC
rnacentral:lncRNA from 1 species